UUAUCUUGUCCUGUUUUCAUCAUGUUCAAAGUGGACCACAGAAUGAUCUGUACCUGUCUUCCAGGACCUGGUAAGGGCAGUAAUAAUGAAGACAAAGCUUCUGUUACUGGGAUUUAGAAAAAGACUUUCCUGGCAAGCACCAAAUGGCUGUGCAAGGAAUGGAGACACAAUAGGCUCUCAAAACAUUUUUGUUUGGUGUUGAAUUGAUGGACAUAAGAGAGAGCUCAGGCUAACUUGGAAGUCAUUGAUGUAUAAGCACAGGGCAACUGGUUGUUACAGAAAAGACAGCAUUCAAGAAAUCAUGGAGGGAGAACGCAGGAACCUGGUGCCACAAAUGCAGAUUAUGUGUUGCUCUAGGUUCUUUUGCCUUGACUCCAUAUCUACCCCCUCAGUCUCUCCAGGAUACAAUGUGGAAAACAUGGCCACUGACAAGUUGGCAUAACUGCCAGAAUAGCUUUAUUCAUCAAAAAGACAGGGACAGUCCUACUUACUACUAGUUCUAAAAUUCCCAGAAAAAGACUGCUGUUGGACUGACUUUUCAAUUGCAGGUACCAACCCUUGAUCCAAUCCAUUGUGAUCGGUGUCAGAAGCUUCAUGAGUACAGUGAGAAUGCACCCCAGCGUGCCUAGAAUGGUCCUGUUUACAACUCUCAGCCUAACUUAAUCAUCCACAGCACCCUCCCUCACUCUCAAAUAAUGUGCUCUAGUUUAGGUAAUAAAUUAUAGAGUACUUCCAUAGGAACAAAAUGAUCCUUUCAUGGUCACCAUGCAGUUGGUGAUUGACUUCCAGAAAUAUGCUUCGGGUGACAGAAGUAGAAAGUGGCUGGAAAUCUAAGAUGACCAAAAGGUGGGAGAACCCUCCAGGAAGCCAAUUGCCUGUGUCCAUCCCCUUGUCCAUGCCAUCCCCAGUGCACCUCUUCCAGACAUGACACCUAGAGUUAGGCAGCAGAGCCUGGCAUACUUCAAGCUUCACCCAUAGGUGUGCUGAUCUCUUGAAAGCCUCGCUCUUCUCAUGAUACCACAGGCAGGGGACUGAGUCAAUGAUAAACUAUAGAAUGAGUAUCAAUCUGAGGUUCUCAGCUAACUGUCUCCUCCACUUUAAAGGUUUUCCUCCCUUUGACAAGCUCUGCACUUGGAUUUCUCCUGAGUGAAAUACUUGGUGAGGGUUUCACUGACAGACUUCUUCCCAGGCCCCAGGAUGAUCUUAAGAUUCCUGGAAAUAAACUAAGAAGUAAAUUUAAGGCAGCGUCUUACACUUUCAUCUAAUUCUUUACCCAAAAUGUGUGAACCUGAAGGCAACUCAAAAUUCUGAGUGAAUUUCCAGAUUUUUCUUGAAGUGACAAAAAACAACCACAGGCACCACCCAGCCAGCACAGAGAGACAUUUGCAGCUUUCUCCACUCAUUUGCAUUGCUUUCUUUAACACUUUUCUGCCCUCAUUUUUCACUGGACAUUCUCUUGUUUUGUAUUUUUCCUCUGUCUCAUUUCAUUCUCUUUGUCCUUUUUAAAAUUCAUCUGCCUCUUUUCAGUCACAUCUUCAUCCCCUCCUUUUAUUCCUUUCUUUCUUCUCUUCCUCCCUCCUCACUCUCUCUGUCGUUUUUCCUUGAUGAAACACACUGAAUGUGAAGUCGAUUUGUCCCUGGACGUAGCUGUUGCUUGGGAGAAGACACACCCCAGGCUCUGAAGACUCUCUACUUCAAUACUGAAGGAUCUCGGCCUCAGCACUGACAUGAGUUAUGUAAGAUGGUGGCCCCUGAAAGAGCACUAAACAAGUUACAUUA
rnacentral:lncRNA from 1 species